rnacentral:rRNA from 1 species
UACGGGGGGGGGCAAGCGUUGUUCGGAAUUACUGGGCGUAAAGGGUCUGUAGGUGGCUUGCUAAGUCAGACGUGAAAUCCCUCAGCUUAACUGGGGGAACUGCGUCUGAGACUGAAGCUGAGAGCUUGAGUGCAGGAGAGGAAUGCGGAAUUCCAGGUGUAGCGGUGAAAUGCGUAGAUAUCUGGAGGAACACCGGUGGCGAAGGCGGCAUUCUGGACUGCAACUGACACGUGAGAAGACGAAAGCCAGGGGAGGCAAACGGG